rnacentral:tRNA from 1 species
AAAACAAGAAACUUAUUGUAUUAUGGUUUCGGCCCAUAAUUAGGUGCCCACUGCACCCUUGUUUUU